rnacentral:rRNA from 1 species
AACGAACGCUGGCGGCAAGCUUAACACAUGCAAGUCGAACGGAUUAUUCUUUAUAGCUUGCUAUAAAGAAUAAUUAGUGGCAGACGGGUGAGUAAUGCAUAGGAAUCUACCUAGUAGUAUGGGAUAGCCACUAGAAAUGGUGGGUAAUACUGUAUAAUCCCUGCGGGGGAAAGAUUUAUCGCUAUUAGAUGAGCCUAUGUUAGAUUAGCUAGUUGGUAGGGUAAAGGCCUACCAAGGCGAUGAUCUAUAGCUGGUCUGAGAGGAUGAUCAGCCACACUGGAACUGAGAUACGGUCCAGACUCCUACGGGAGGCAGCAGUGGGGAAUAUUGGACAAUGGGCGCAAGCCUGAUCCAGCUAUGCCGCGUGAGUGAGGAAGGCCUUAGGGUUGUAAAACUCUUUCAGUAGGGAAGAUAAUGACGGUACCUACAGAAGAAGUCCCGGCAAACUCCGUGCCAGCAGCCGCGGUAAUACGGAGGGGGCAAGCGUUGUU